rnacentral:rRNA from 1 species
CUCGUAGGCGGUUUGUCGCGUCUGCUGUGAAAACCUAAGGCUCAACCUUGGGCUUGCAGUGGGUACGGGCAGACUAGAGUGCGGUAGGGGUGACUGGAAUUCCUGGUGUAGCGGUGGAAUGCGCAGAUAUCAGGAGGAACACCGAUGGCGAAGGCAGGUCACUGGGCCGCAACUGACGCUGAGGAGCGAAAAGCGAAUGGGGAGCGAACA